rnacentral:rRNA from 1 species
AUUGAACGCUGGCGGCAGGCUUAACACAUGCAAGUCGAGCGGAGAUGAGGUGCUUGCACCUUAUCUUAGCGGCGGACGGGUGAGUAAUGCUUAGGAAUCUGCCUAUUAGUGGGGGACAACAUUCCGAAAGGAAUGCUAAUACCGCAUACGCCCUACGGGGGAAAGCAGGGGAUCUUCGGACCUUGCGCUAAUAGAUGAGCCUAAGUCGGAUUAGCUAGUUGGUGGGGUAAAGGCCUACCAAGGCGACGAUCUGUAGCGGGUCUGAGAGGAUGAUCCGCCACACUGGGACUGGAACACGGCCCAGACUCCUACGGGAGGCAGCAGUGGGGAAUAUUGGAUAAUGGGCGGAAGCCUGAUCCAGCCAUGCCGCGUGUGUGAAGAAGGCCUUUUGGUUAUAAAGCACUUUAAGCGAGGAGGAGGCUACCUGGAUUAAUACUCUAGGAUAGUGGACGUUACUCGCAGAAUAAGCACCGGCUAACUCUGUGCCAGCCGCCGCGGUAACAC